AACUUAGAUUUAAGUAAAUAUUUAGUGCUCGCAUUUAUAUAUUAUUAAUACAUCCUCACCAAAUAAAUGUUUACUAUUUUCCAGAUUUUUUUCUCUCAGCGCAGAGCGGCUGGGUUCGACGACUCAAUCGCACGAAGAUCGACGCGCGACGAGGAUUAUUUUUAAUAUCUGGCGACGUCAGCUGCGAUGCCAGUCCCCAGCUCAAACUUUGACCCACCGCGUGCUCUUUCCGGCCUCCCUCUGUCCCUUACUCGCUCGGCGAAUUGCAAAUUCCUCGCAAAGAGUUUGUUUCCACGAUCCUCCUGCGCUUUUCCUGCUUCCCCUCGCGAAAUCCCUCCAGCGAGACUUACGAUUGGAGGACACUUUAUCCGAUAUUAAAUUCCCGUGACAGACGGCUUCGCGAGUUCGACGUAUUCGUCGGCCGCCUCGCAUAAUACGUGGCAUCACGAUAUGUGCGUUACCUCAGUAUGAACUGGAAACAACUCGUCUUGGCUAAUUACAAAUAUUCAAUUUUGCUUGUUAAGGAUCAAUCCUUUUUACUAAGAUGAAAAAUUUGGAAAGAAUAUUGAGAAACAAUCCAACGCGACUGUGGAUGUGAAAAGCAAUCCCGAAGGAUUAAGUGGUCGAGGCGAGUGGUUUACGGCGGGCGGGCGCCGAAAUACGUCGUGCAUCCUUCGAUUUUCCCGCGAACGACACAAUUGACCUCCGGAGAGCGUGGGCGCUUCGUAAAACCGGAAGUAAAGAGCCGUGGCUUGAAAUGUCACGGGGCUCAUUGUUCAUGAACGCGCGGUCAAUGGCCCACGGCGUGCCAUCAGACCGGAAACGGCGCCCGGUCCCGGCCAACUUCGGCCGCGAAACUUUUGGGUUAGAGCGCCCCGUCCGAUCGGAAUGCCGAAAAUUCGCCCGGGCGGUCCUCGAUUUCAGGGCUCGCCGAGAGAUAUGGACUCGCAAAAGCAGAAUGAGGUACGCGUCGGCGCGCUGGACAUUUCCCACUGCGAAAUCGCACUGUUACCGGAUACGUGGAUUACAGCACGCAAGAUUAGUUUGCUCAAUCGAAGAUAAUUAAUGAGACAUUGGACGAUAUUAAUUUUAAAUGGACGCGCCACAUACACACACACACACAUGCACAUCGCAAUAUCUUUCGACUAUCGCUUGAUAACUCUCAUGUUGAAUUUUUAAUCAUCAAUUAUUUCGAUUGACCGUAUUAUGAAGAGCAGAUUCGCGUCGCACUGAGAAGUACUCUAUUCGACGACGUUUUCCCUCGCAUGUCACGAUUGUCUCGACCGACUCUAAGUGGAGAUUCGAGAGCAGAAUCGUCAAGUAAAAGAUCCUCAUUUUGGAGGCGAAUAUAUCAGCAAGAGUGCGUUGCGGGGAGAAAUUUUACAUGAACUUGUAGAGUUAUUUUCUCAUCAGAUCUGUAUGUUUUUAAGAGACUGCUCAUCUUUAUUAAAAUACCCCGUAUUUAUGAUUCAUUUUAACAUAGUAUCUCUAUGCAUCUUCAAUUUAAAUUAAAUGAAAUUAAUCAUAAAUACAAUAACAUGUACAUUUUAUAUUCACAUUUCUUUUUUUACAAUUGAUACUGACCUCAAAUGAGUGCCUUGCAACAUUUAUUUUGUCACUUUUAAAAUACCUAAUAACUUUAAAAAUAAAAAAACACAUUAUUUGAUUAAUUACAUAUUGUGACAUUUACGAAUUUAACCUUAAUAAUAUUGUUGCAAAAUAAUUUCUUUAGUCAUUUUAAGCAAUUUUAUUAAUAAAAUAUUGAUUGACUAGAGAGUAUAGCGCUGGAACUUUCUUAACCCUCCAUUGCCCACGUUCGGAUGAACGUGCUCUCGUAUGAGCGAAACGCCUGUUAUUAAUUGAAUUUAAAUGAAAAUUUAAUUAUUGCUGCAUUAUUACGGCUUCAUAAAAACGAGUAGAUGCAUUAAAACAAUGAUUUAUUAUUGAUCCAUCAGCACGAGUCGCAUCAACCUCAUGUAUUUGCUCUCGCGAUGAGCACUUCCCAGAGUAUUAAUAAA